ACACGGACGACGCGGCUGCGGUCACGGACAAACUUCCAUGAGUGUAUUCGGGAAUGGCAGAUGAUGAGAGGUCCAGCGUUUACAUUACCGACUAUUUCAAAGUGACAGCCUGAGGUGUUCUUCAGUAAAUUGGACUACCGGACAGGAGGACCUGAGGCCCCACCACAAUAUUUUCGUACCACUGCUGAUAACACCUCCGUAUGUUGUGACCAGGAUGCAGCAGCAGACUGAAUCAGGACUGAAACCUGCUCCAUCAUCUCAUCUUUGCAGAUGUCCAUUUAUAAAGCAUCAACAACUCAAAGGAGCCGUCCUCAGAUUCAGACCUCAGCACCACCCAGUGACAGCAGACAAAUUAUCCUGUAUCUUCACUCUUUGUAGUAACUCCAAAAUUAACUGAUGAAAACAGUACAAAGAUUAAAGUACCACAUGUGCUGUCAGUGAAAGCUGCAGCUGUUUUAUUGAUAAAUUUAAAGACAAAAAGUCAAAAGGAUUAAUCACCCAUGUAACUGUGUCACUAUACAUCAGCAUUAACAGUACCUCAGUUUGAUGUUUCAGAAAACUGCUGAUCUCAGACCUGCACAACUUAUGUUUUAAACACUGAAUGUACUCAGCUACAUGAAGAGCACAAGAUGUUUUCUCUGACACAUUUAAAUAA